AUUGAGUUAAACAAAGCUGAGGGAAUGCCAAUACCAUAAACUCAUAGAGUUUUGAACUCCUCAGUUUGUGCAUCGACUCGCAAAUAUUAGGCCAUUGUUCUCUCAACCUCAUUCAAUCUUUUUACUUUGAGCUAUAAUUUUCAAGAUCUGAAUACCGGCCAUGAAAAACGUAUUUAUUCUAAUAGCCAUUGGAGUUGUGUUUGCUACCAUUUACAGUGGUGCUAUAGCUGAAGAUGACGACGACCAGGGAGAAAAUGUAGGAAUAAAAUUUGGCUCCAAGGAUAAUCAGAGGAGAAUGAUCGAAUUGGAUUCGUGGAAAAGAAAGAAGCGUGACAUUUUAUUUUCAAACAAUGCAGAUGACAUUGCUCUUUUUUAUUGACUUCAUUUGGACAACAAUAUCAAAGGAAUACAACAAUCAUCGAUGCAUCGUUUGUUACGUAAUUACGUAUAAUGUUAUUAUAUUUUUGAGUUGA